rnacentral:rRNA from 1 species
AUUGAACGCUGGCGGCAGGCCUAACACAUGCAAGUCGAGCGGAUGAAGGGAGCUUGCUCCUGGAUUCAGCGGCGGACGGGUGAGUAAUGCCUAGGAAUCUGCCUGGUAGUGGGGGAUAACGUCCGGAAACGGGCGCUAAUACCGCAUACGCCCUGAGGGAGAAAGUGGGGGAUCUUCGGACCUCACGCUAUCAGAUGAGCCUAGGUCGGAUUGGCUAGUUGGUGGGGUAAAGGCCUACCAAGGCGACGAUCCGUAACUGGUCUGAGAGGAUGAUCAGUCACACUAGAGCUGAGACACGGUCCAGACUCCUACGGGAGGCAGCAGUGGGGAAUAUUGGACAAUGGGCGAAAGCCUGAUCCAGCCAUGCCGCGUGUGUGAAGAAGGUCUUCGGAGUGUAAAGCACUUUAAGUUGGGAGGAAGGGCAGUAAGUUAAUACCUUGCUGUUUUGACGGUACCAGCAGAAUAAGCACCGGCUAACUUCGUG